GCUCAGAGAGGGGUCAAUGUCCUAUCAGCUAGUUGGCAGGGUAAAGGCCUACCAAGGCGAAGACGGGUAGCCGGCCUGAGAGGGUGGUCGGCCACAUUGGGACUGAGACACUGCCCAGACUCCUACGGGAGGCUGCAGUCGAGAAUCUUUCGCAAUGCCCGGAAGGGUGACGAAGCGACGCCGCGUGUGGGAAGAAGGCCUUCGGGUUGUAAACCACUGUCGGGAGUUAAGAAGUGUAAGGGGGUGAAUAGCCCUCUUACUUGACGUUAGCUCCGGAGGAAGCCACGGCUAACUCUGUGCCAGCAGCCGCGGUAAUACAGAGGUGGCAAGCGUUGUUCGGAAUUAUUGGGCGUAAAGAGCACGUAGGCGGCCCUACAAGUCAGCUGUGAAAUCCUUCUGCUCAACGGAAGAACGGCAGUUGAUACUAUAGGGCUGGAGUGCGGGAGGGGAGAGUGGAACUUCUGGUGGAGCGGUGAAAUGCGUAGAUAUCAGAAGGAACAUCGGCGGCGAAAGCGACUCUCUGGCCCGUAACUGACGCUGAGGUGCGAAAGCUAGGGGAGCAAACGGGAUUAGAUACCCCGGUAGUCCUAGCCGUAAACGAUGGGCACUCGGUAGA
rnacentral:rRNA from 1 species